rnacentral:rRNA from 1 species
UACGGAGGAUCCAAGCGUUAUCCGGAUUUAUUGGGUUUAAAGGGUGCGUAGGCGGCCUGUUAAGUCAGGGGUGAAAGACGGUAGCUCAACUAUCGCAGUGCCCUUGAUACUGAUGGGCUUGAAUACACUAGAGGUAGGCGGAAUGUGACAAGUAGCGGUGAAAUGCAUAGAUAUGUCACAGAACACCAAUUGCGAAGGCAGCUUACUAUGGUGUUAUUGACACUGAGGCACGAAAGCGUGGGGAUCAAACAGG